UACGGAGGGUGCAAGCGUUAAUCGGAAUUACUGGGCGUAAAGCGCACGCAGGCGGUUGAUUGAGUCAGAUGUGAAAUCCCCGGGCUUAACCCGGGAAUUGCAUCUGAUACUGGUCAGCUAGAGUCUUGUAGAGGGGGGUAGAAUUCCAGGUGUAGCGGUGAAAUGCGUAGAGAUCUGGAGGAAUACCGGUGGCGAAGGCGGCCCCCUGGACAAAGACUGACGCUCAGGUGCGAAAGCGUGGGGAGCAAACAGG
rnacentral:rRNA from 1 species